CGUCUUCUGGUCAACAGCGGCUCACCUGGCCUCAGAAGUGCGAUCUGAGCUCCGCUUUGGGCCGCGUUUUUUUGAGGCCUUUCUGCCAUAAUAUACUGUCCUCCAGAGGCCCAGAAACAGUGCCAUAUGACCAUGGACUGAAACCUAUGAGACUAUAAUUAGACAUUACACAAAAUCGAGAGGUGCUGGAAAAAUGAAAGUUUGAAAAGAGGAUUGGAGGAUAAAAAACAUAGUCAAUCCUGGAAGCCAAGCACACAGCCCCAAGAUGGGACCACUAAGGGUCUUGCUAAAUUGCCCAGACUGGCUUCAAACUUGCCUUCCUCUUGCUGCAGCCUCCCAAGUAGGAUUUCAGGUUCCUGUGACAAGGACAGAGUCUUUGCAGAUAUAAUCAAGUUAAAAUGAGGUCAUCAGAUUGGGCCUACAAUUCAAUAUGACUAAUGUUCAUAUAAGAAGAAGGAAAUUUGGACACAGACACAUAGAGAACACUAUGUGACAACAGAGGCAAGGACUGGAAUGAAGCAGGUAAUCCAAGGAAUUCCAGGGAUAUACAACCACCACCAGAAACUAGGAAGAGACUCUUGAUUUGUGACUCUACUGAUACCUUGAAUUUAGACCCUGCCCCCCAGAACUAUGACAGAAUAAAUUUCUCUUAUUUUAAACCA